rnacentral:tRNA from 1 species
GCGGAAAUGGCGGAAUUGGUAGACGCACCAGAUUUAGGUGCUGGCGCCGCAAGGUGUGAGAGUUCAAGUCUCUCCUUCCGCACCA